rfam:Monoraphidium neglectum strain SAG 48.87 mitochondrion, whole genome shotgun sequence.
GCGAACGUGGCGAAAUGGUAGACGCAAAGCCUUCAAAAGGCUUGGGUCACGUGACUGUGCGGGUUCAAGUCCCGCCGUUCGCA